CAAAAGAAAAGAAAUGUGCCUCUCUCUCUCUCUCUCUCCGAUCACAUCUAGUGGCAGAUACAAGUAUUUCACGUCUGAUGACUUCAACAAUCACCAAAAUCAAUCUCUGGAACCCCCAACGAACAAAAUUCCCCUUCUAAAAACCAUCGAUUUUUGAAAACCCCAUAUCCUACCCCAUAACCAUCUUCUUAUGAACCUUCAAGUUUUGUAAACCCGAGAUUCAAAGACCAAACAUAGAUCUUUUCAUCAGUUUCUUUGUUUUCGGUGAAGUUCAUGUUUUGGAGAGGCGGAAUAGAUAAGUGGGUUUUUGAAAAGUCUCUCCUGUUAAAAUUUCUUAGUAAAAAGCUUCUCAUGGAUCUGGAUUUUUUGUAUAUUGAUUAUGGUAUUCUGUAUAUCGAUCUAAUUUCUUUUUGUAUAUUGCAUCUAUUUUUUGUGUAGCAACGACUGUAUCAGGGUUUUAUUUGUAUAUUGUAUUUGGGUUUCUUUUAUUCAUAGUUCUCGUAAGGAGUUGGUGGUUCCGAACUUUAA